rnacentral:misc_RNA from 1 species
CAGCAGCAAGGCAGCUUUUCUGUCAACCUAUGGAAGAAUGCUUUUCGAGAUGCUUUUCAACGGCUUUGUCCCGUUAGAGCAGGAGGCCAUGAGUGUGGUUGCUUGCCCAUCAUAGCACGAAUGGUUAUGNNNUUGCCAGACUAGAUAUAGCAAUGUUUAAUGCUAUAUUGCGUGAGUCAGCCCAUGAGAUCCCAACUGACCCUGUGUCAGAUCCUAUUUUAGAUGCAAAAGUUCUGCCA